rnacentral:rRNA from 1 species
ACACGACUCUCGGCAACGGAUAUCUCGGCUCUCGCAUCGAUGAAGAACGUAGCGAAAUGCGAUACCUGGUGUGAAUUGCAGAAUCCCGCGAACCAUCGAGUCUUUGAACGCAAGUUGCGCCCGAGGCCACUUGGCCGAGGGCACGCCUGCCUGGGCGUCAC